GGUAUAGCUCAGUGGUAGAGCAUGUGCUUAGCGCACACAAGUUCCUAGGUUCAAGCCCUAGUACC
rnacentral:tRNA from 1 species